rnacentral:rRNA from 1 species
ACCGCCUCCCGACCACACUGAACAUGGGAGGUCCCGCCUGCCCUGUGAUUAAUAAUUUAACGGCCGCGGUAUUUUGACCGUGCAAAGGUAGCGCAAUCACUUGUCUUUUAAAUGGAGACCUGUAUGAAUGGCAUAACGAGGGCUUAACUGUCUCCCUUUCUCAGUCAAUGAAAUUGAUCUUCCCGUGCAGAAGCGGGAAUAUGAACAUAAGACGAGAAGACCCUGUGGAGCUUUAGACAAUAAGCAGCGCCUGUAAAGCAUAACCCCAAAGCAUAUAAACAAAAGGCUGUUUCUACUUUGAUGUCUUCGGUUGGGGCGACCGCGGGGUAACAUAAAACCCCCACGUGGAAUAUGAAUUCUUCUUUAAACCAAGAAUGCCAGUUCUAAGCAACAGAAUAUCUGACCUCAAUUGACCCGGCUCUUAGCCGAUCAACGGAAUCAGUUACCCCAGGGAUAACAGCGCAAUCCUCUCCCAGAGCCCAUAUCGACGAGAGGGUUUACGACCUCGAUGUUGGAUCAGGACAUCCUAAUGGUGCAGCCGCUAUUAAGGGUUCGUUUGUUCAACGAUUAAAGUCCUACGUGAU